GACAGAGGGUGCAAACGUUGUUCGGAAUUACUGGGCGUAAAGGGCGCGUAGGCGGCCUGCUAAGUCGGAUGUGAAAUCCCUCAGCUUAACUGGGGAACUGCGUGUGAUACUGGAUGGCUUGGAUUUGGGAGAGGGAUGCGGAAUUCCAGGUGUAGCGGUGAAAUGCGUAGAUAUCUGGAGGAACACCGGUGGCGAAGGCGGCAUCCUGGACCAAUAUUGACGCUGAGGAGCGAAAGCCAGGGGAGCAAACGGG
rnacentral:rRNA from 1 species